ACAAGCACUGUUGAUUUUUAUACAUUUAUACUAAAUGUGUGAUAAACCUAUCUUGGCUUAUAUUAUUAAUGAAAUCUUCAAGGAAGUAAGGAGAUUCAGGGUGCAAGUCACUGCCAUACUUUAUUCCGUGGCUGUGUUUACAUGCACAUAACUAUUGCGAUAUCAAUCAGAAUUUGGCAAUAUUCGAAUUAGUACCGAGUUAUUUAAAGGCCGCAGUCACAUUGCUUUGUUCAGAUUAAGACAAUAUUCUGAUUCCCCAAAUUCUGAUUGUAUAAAUGUUGUAUUCGGAAUUUGUCUGCGACCUGAAUAUAGACCUUAAACGGAAUUACUAACAUUGAAAGGGAAUGAUUUAGAAGACAAAGAUUCGUUGUUGUUGUUGUUGUUGUUGUUGUUGUUGUUGUUGUUGUUUUUAAUGAAUGACAGAGAUAUAUUGGUUACUUCUGGAGAGCAUGUGACAUUAUGAUAGGCACAACAUUCUUUAUUAAAUGCAUAUUAAAAAUUCAGGAAAUUGUAAUAUACAUUCUUGAAUACCUCACCACAACCCAUUACUCAACACAACCAUUCUUAAUAUAAAAAGAAACUAGAACCCUUGCUGUCCUGAAGCAAUAAUAAAGCUGUACACGACUCCCAGACAGAAAUCUUUUGAAGUAGCGUUAGCUAUGAUUGGAGUACAUGACAAAAAACAUGAUAAGCGGUUACUGAACGUACCGUAAGUGUGAUUGUGCGAGUACAUAGAAAUAAAGUCAGGAUAACAUUUGAGUCCCGUACAAUUGAUCUGGCCAUUUCAGCCACACUCUGCAAAGUAGUCUGAGGGCUCCACUGACAGACACUCCUGUAGGAACAUCAUCCGCACCCUGUGAAAUACAGCAGAGACUCAGUGAGCGAUGAAGCAUCAGACACGUCGACGUUAAAAACUGCAUGUACAGACGAGUGUGUUGUGUUUAUCGCACAGAAACAGUGUCUUAAGGUCCGUUAAGGUUUGCGCUGAAUGUUAACACUAGGCCAGGUUUAACCUGGCUUGAAUCGGCACAUAAAAAGACAUUACACGUCUGGAUUUGACUCCAGUAUGCAUUUUAUUUGGCCUAGAUAUUUCAUUUUAUGUUCCGUAUAUUAUCAUCAUAGUCAUCUUUCGGAUGUCUUUAAAUAAAUAAAUAACAUAAAAUUCUCUCACAGCCAGAAUUGACAUGUCCCAUUCUCACCAAAGAUAUAUUUUCUGU
ensembl:lncRNA